rnacentral:rRNA from 1 species
CGCGUAUACAAUCUGCCCCCUACUGUGGGAUAGCCCAGAGAAAUUUGGAUUAAGACCACAUGGUACCAUAUUACGGCAUCGUAUUUAUGGUUAAAGGUUACGGUAGGGGAUGAGUAUGCGUCCCAUUAGUUAGUUGGCGAGGUAACGGCUCACCAAGACCGCGAUGGGUAGGGGCCCUGAGAGGGGGAUCCCCCACACUGGUACUGAGACACGGACCAGACUCCUACGGGAGGCAGCAGUGAGGAAUAUUGGACAAUGGGCGGGAGCCUGAUCCAGCCAUGCCGCGUGCAGGAAGAAUGCCCUAUGGGUAGUAAACUGCUUUUAUACGGGAAGAAAAAGGGGCACGUGUGCCCCACUGACGGUACCGUAAGAAUAAGGACCGGCUAACUCCGUGCCAGCAGCCGCGGUAAUACGGAGGGUCCGAGCGUUAUCCGGAAUUAUUGGGUUUAAAGGGUCCGUAGGCGGGCAGCUAAGUCAGUGGUGAAAGUUUGCAGCUCAACUGUAAAAUUGCCUUUGAUACUGGUUGUCUUGAGUUAUGGUGAAGUUGCCGGAAUAUGUAGUGUAGCGGUGAAAUGCAUAGAUAUUACAUAGAACACCGAUUGCGAAGGCAGGUGACUAACCAUAUACUGACGCUGAUGGACGAAAGCGUGGGGAGCGAACAGGAUUAGAUACCCUGGUAGUCCACGCCGUAAACGAUGGAUACUAGCUGUCCGGGCUCCUUG